rnacentral:tRNA from 1 species
GUGGGUACAGCUUAGUGGUAAAGUGCAUGGUUAGCAUGCACAAGGUCCUGGGUUCAAUUCUCAGUACUUCCA